rnacentral:rRNA from 1 species
AGGACGAACGCUGGCGGCGUGCUUAACACAUGCAAGUCGAGCGGAAAGGCCCUUCGGGGUACUCGAGCGGCGAACGGGUGAGUAACACGUGAGUAAUCUGCCCCUAGCUCUGGGAUAGCUCCGGGAAACCGGGAUUAAUACUGGAUACGACCACCUUAGACAUCUUUUGUGGUGGAAAGAAUUUCGGCUAGGGAUGAGCUCGCGGCCUAUCAGCUUGUUGGUGGGGUAACGGCCUACCAAGGCGACGACGGGUAGCCGGCCUGAGAGGGCGACCGGCCACACUGGGACUGAGACACGGCCCAGACUCCUACGGGAGGCAGCAGUGGGGAAUAUUGCGCAAUGGGCGAAAGCCUGACGCAGCGACGCCGCGUGGGGGAUGAAGGCCUUCGGGUUGUAAACCCCUUUCAGCAGGGACGAAGCGAAAGUGACGGUACCUGCAGAAGAAGCGCCGGCUAACUACGUGCCUGCAGCCGC